rnacentral:rRNA from 1 species
UACGGAGGGAGCUAGCGUUGUUCGGAAUUACUGGGCGUAAAGCGCACGUAGGCGGCUUUGUAAGUUAGAGGUGAAAGCCCGGGGCUCAACUCCGGAACUGCCUUUAAGACUGCAUCGCUUGAAUCCAGGAGAGGUGAGUGGAAUUCCGAGUGUAGAGGUGAAAUUCGUAGAUAUUCGGAAGAACACCAGUGGCGAAGGCGGCUCACUGGACU